GACGAACGCUGGCGGCGUGCUUACCACAUGCAAGUCGAACGAUGAAGCCUUCGGGUGGAUUAGUGGCGAACGGGUGAGUAACACGUGGGUGAUCUGCCCUGCACUUUGGGAUAAGCCUGGGAAACUGGGUCUAAUACCGAAUAUGAUCAUGCUCUCCAUGGGGUGUGGUGGAAAGCUUUUGCGGUGUGGGAUGGGCCCGCGGCCUAUCAGCUUGUUGGUGGGGUAAUGGCCUACCAAGGCGACGACGGGUAGCCGGCCUGAGAGGGUGACCGGCCACACUGGGACUGAGAUACGGCCCAGACUCCUACGGGAGGCAGCAGUGGGGAAUAUUGCACAAUGGGCGCAAGCCUGAUGCAGCGACGCCGCGUGAGGGAUGACGGCCUUCGGGUUGUAAACCUCUUUCAGCAGGGACGAAGCGAAAGUGACGGUACCUGCAGAAGAAGGACCGGCCAACUACGUGCCAGCCGCCGCCGUAA
rnacentral:rRNA from 1 species